rnacentral:lncRNA from 1 species
UUUUAUUUCUUUAAUUCCUUUUCAUUUCAUAAAUUCAUAUCUCCUUCAUUAUUGGUCCAAAAAAUGUGAGACCAAUUGCAUUCUUCUUCUUUUAAUUUCUAGUUUCUAAAAACGAUUUUUAAUAUUUUUUAUUUUAUCAUUUAAAAUAGUUUUUGAUAUUCAACAAAUACAAAAAUAUUUUUCCAACCUCUUUGAAUGAUGAUAGAUCUAUGAAAAAUAUUCUCAUCAAUUUAUUAAUUGAUUUGAGAUUUAUUUGAGAUUUUAAUUCAA